rnacentral:rRNA from 1 species
GAGAGCCCCGAUCUCAUCUGAUCUCGGAAGCUAAGC